AGAGCCUCAUCCUUGAACGUGAAGGACGUUUGAAGACUGGCAUGAUCAUGGGAUGAGAUCACAGGGAACUUGAGUUUCUUUCCUCCUCUCCCUUCACAGUUAUUUCACUGAGGGAAAUCCCUCCCCUGCCCAGAAUGAAAACUCUAGCCAACUCUUGACUUUUCCAUCACUCCAAAGUAGUUGAAAGUACUUUAGUCUCCACAGUGGCAAAACACAGUGUGCAAAGGCUAAAUAAUUAGAACAGCCAGUCCCAUGUGACAGUCAAAGCUUCUAACUCCAUUCACAGUUGCAGCCAUUCCCCUCGGGGGGCUGGCAGGGAGGGGAGGGGUAAGAGAAACAGGAAGGUUCUUACUGAGUUGGUCCUGGUGUGAGCUGUGUCACACUCCCUGCAGAGGUUUCAAGGAGACUGUCUCUCUCUCCAUGGGGACCUUAUUUGAAUUCUUCUAGACUCUUCCCCCAGCCUGCCAUCUCCAGCUAUCCUCCCUUGAAGAGCCCUUCCACUGCGCUGGAUUCUGGUGGCCAUGUCAUCUCCUCAGCCCCGUGGGAGUCUGAAGAUCUGGCUGCAGCCUCACCUCUGAGGUCCUGCUGACUGCCACCUCUUAGACAUGAUCUGAGGCUCCCAGGCACUCUGACCUGUGCCCACAUGGGGCCCACGGGAAACACGCUGGCAAGCAAACUGUGGGUGUGCGGACGGUUCUCAGGGCUGCAGCACCUGUCCUUUGCUGUGCCCCCAAAGCAAGAGGCCAGCCCAUCUUCCAUCCUCUAGUGUUCCUUGGUGGGGCCCUGACCAUAGUCCACCAGGUCCCUAAGCAGAGGGGACACACACCAGGUGUCCUCAAUGUAUUGCCUUGAAACAGUUGUGCUGGGACUGUGAUGGGGGGUGGCCAUGUAGCCACUCCCACCACCCCCAAGCCACUCUUUCCACGGAAAUCCUCCUAAAGAUCCCUUUACACCCUCCAUGUGGUGGGGAGGUUCUAGAGUUGGGUGCAUGUGUCUUCAGCUACUGAUAAUGCAGACCUUAGUUGGCACCUCGCUCUGGCCUAUUCUGUUUGCUGUUCUUGGUGCUCCAGUGAAACUCCCCAUGGGCCAUCCAGUUGGGGUGCAGUGUGGCCACCCCCUUGCAGGAUCCUGCCUUGCUGGAGAGCACAGGGCCCUCCUGGCUCUUGUAAAACACUCCCCAGGGUACAGAGAGGCCAGCGGUGAUGUGAGGCCCAACCUCCACCAUGCCCUCCCUCCCUCCUUGGUGUUUCCAAGCAGCUCCCUUUCUGGGGUCAAGGGGUGGCAAAGACAGCGCAGCCUCCAAUUUCUGACUCACGCCGGGCCUGGCUAUUGCAGCUCUGCACUGUGUGUGACAGCAAGGUGACUCAGCCAGUGCCAUGGCAGUGACGGUGUCGGGGGAAGCCUCCUCACGCCCUCUGUCUCAAGGACUCUGGCAUUUAGCUGGACUUGCUGUCGCUCUGAGCCUUUCUGCCAUUGCCAUCACCUUGUCAGAAACUCAGGCCGAAUCUGCACUCAGAGUUGUGCCCAGGCAGUUGAGCCAACACUCGCUCAGCAAUAUUGUCACAUGACAAGGCACUGUCACCACUGGGCCUCGUGGGCAGCACAGUGUCGGCUGGAUGGAUCUGGAGGGUGUCUGUGUCAUGCUAGUGCUAGUGAUGGGAGCCCCGUGAGCCCAUUGCCCGCCCUCCCAUCCCCUCAGCAGCUGCCUGGGGACAGCCAAUGGCCUGGGUGUUUAUGAGGCUACCACAUGGCUGCCAGGAAACUCAAGAACCUUUCCCUUGCCUACACUCUUCACACAGGCCUGUGCUGGCCAGCGGUGGGGAUCCGGCAUUCCUGUCUUAGGUGCGGAGAGUGACUGACUCAUUUCAGGCCUGGGAGAUAAGACUGAUGGCCCAGCCAGCGAGAUGUAUGCAUUUCUCAGAGGCAGUGGCCUCUGUCAUUGUCCUCAGGAAAUGCUGGUGAUUCUGGUGGCCUGAGGUCAAUGCAUGUCAACAUGGCCAACUUGCCUUAUAAACUUUUUUUCUGGACAGUUGCGUGCAUUGUCCUGUAACAGUGUCCUGCUGUUUAUGAUGCAGAAAUAGGUGUUUUUAAAGCCUAUUGAUUUUGGUACUAUUAAUGUGGUCAGGAACUUUCUCAGUCUUUCUUGUUUGGGGUGAGCUGUGGCUUCCUAAACAGGAACCCAAGACACCCCCAAAAGCUGCUCACCAGCACUGCCAGCCUCCCUCUUACCAAGUAGUACCCAUUCAGGGCAUUCUGUGAAAGGCAUUUGCCCAGAAGUUGGGAGGAAGGAAAUGUAACAUUUUGGGGCACCUACCAUAUGCCAGGCACCAGGCUAAACGUGUUCACACAAAUUCUCUUACUAACCCUCACCAUCCUUCUACAAGACAAACUAGUAUCUUCAUCUUGGGGUUCUAGAUGAGGAAAUGGAGGCUCAGAGAGGUUGAAUGAAUGCUGGUGCCUGGACAUGAACCCCAUCUGCCUGACUCCGCAACGCAGGCAAAGUCUUUCCUUGAACUUCCCAGCAGCCACUGCUUAGACCCAGCCUCCAUGACCAUGGCUCAGCAACAAAUUGCUUCUCUGACCUCACUCAGCCUGUGUCCUUGUUGAGUGAGGCAUUCAGUACCCUGGUCCCAAAGUGGAGAAAGUCUUUCCUACUGGGUCAUAGCUACACCUACAUGUGGGUGCUGUGCAUUUUGUUUAGUGAACUUUUAUCACCAGCAUCCUCAGCAAUGACAUUUGCAGAGAAGCCAGAGCUGAGGCAUCUUGGUAUUCUUGGGAUGUGACUUUCCUGAAUGUUUUAGGGAAAAUACCCGAAGAUACAGAGAGCUUGGUUUCUAGUAAACAAUAACUGUCUUGCUUUUACCCCCCUUCAUUUGCUGACACAUACACCAGCUGAAGAAGCAGGCAUUGGAGACACCCCCAGCCUGGAAGACGAAGCUGCUGGUCACGUGACCCAAGGUCAGUGAACUGGAAUUGCCUGCCAUGACUUGGGGGUUGGGAGGAGGGACAUGGGGUGGGCUCUGCCCUGAAAAGAUCAUUUGGACCUGAGCCCUAAUUCACAAGUCCAGGAGAUUUUAGGCAGUUGGUUCUUAUCAAAGGUUGGCUACUCAGAUAUAGAAAGAGCCCUAGUGGUUUUUUUCUAAUACCAUUUCUGGGCAAUUCCUAAGGCAUUUAGUGUUCUGAAAGAUGCUAGCCUUGUCCCGCCUGGGAGUUGAGAAUGAAAGUCUAACAGAAACUCUAGGCUGAGCGCGUGGCUCACGCCUCUAAUCCCAGCACUUUGGGAGACCCAGGUGGGCGGAUCACCUGAGGUCAGGAGUUUGAGACCAGCCUGGCCAACAUGGUGAAAUCCUGUCUCACUACAAAUAAAAAAAUUAGCCGGGCGUGGUGGUGGGUGCCUGUAAUCCCAGCUACUCAGGAGGCUGAGGCGGGACAAUCGCUCGAACCCAGGAGGUGGACGUUGCAGUGAGCUGAGAUCACGCCAUUGCACUCCAGCCUGGGCAACAAGAGCGAAACUCCGUCUCAAAAAAAAAAAAAAGAAACUCAAAUAUGUGUGACGGGCGAUUCUCGCUGCAGGCUGCCCUCUGGCCGAUCCAGGAGCAAGGCCUUAACCAUGUCAUCCCCAAGCGAUUGCUUGUAAACUUUCAUCUGUGCAGCCUUCAACCCUUAUUAUGAUUUUCUUCUCAGGAACCAAACUGCUGUGUUCAAGAAAGGCAGCUUUGUGUAAUCAUUUAUCAUAAAUGUCUUAAGAACUUUAAAAAUCCUAGAGAUUCCUAACUUUAGGAAAUGGGAGACCUGUGGUACUGAUAUAACGUGGGCUGGGCUUGUUUUCUGUCAUUUGCUAGAUAAAUGAACUUAAGAGCCUACUGUAAAAUGUGGAAGCUUCUAGAUUGCAGAAGGGCUGCGAAGACGCUGUUCUUUUCUCCCGAGUGAUGGGAUCUGUCCAGUGUUUACAGCUGCCUCUGAGGCCAUCUGAUUCUAGGAGACUCUGCCUCGUUGAGGAUAUUUUGAGGCCUAACUACACAUUCCUGCCCCUAGAGAGGUCACAGCCUAUAGCAGGCUGACGUUUCUCAUCUCACAUGGCACACAAAGGUGCAUUUUCGUUCUCAGGCUAACAAAGAGCUUCAAAAACUAUUAGAAGGGGACGGUGGCUAUAAGAGAAGAACCUCAGUCGAUGUGUGAAAUUAACUAGAAACCUGGCUCCUGUUUCUUUUAGGUCAUGUUUUCCAGCUUAGGUAAAACUAGAGACUUUGAUAAAGCGUGACCUCUAGAAAUCAUUGCUUUUCAUAAAUAGAAGUGGGUUUGAGUUUUUUCUACUGAUUGUUAGUGCAGGCGAUGUCUACAUGCCCCCAGAACAUAUUCCAUGCAACAAAAAAAGCCCAGGUCACCAUCUUUGCUGGGAACUUGACUUUUGUGCUCACUGAAUUUUAAGCUUUCUGACAGCAGCCUGGAAUCAUGGAGGGAUAAAGUACCUAUUAGUAAGAUGGAAAAAGAUGUUUCAGGUUGGAGCUGCAGUCUGUUGAGAGUAAGCUAUGGGAAGGCCUGUAUACGAGGGGUGGACUUUUCUUCUGUAAGUGUCCAGAGACCAGGCCUCCUGAAGAGGGCAAGGGGGCUUAACUUACCUGGACUACUGUGUUUACAAUACUCAUUUAUCUCGAACUCCUCCUAACCCCUGAGAAUUGCUACAUUUAAUAUUUGCUGAGUACUUCCUAGCAUCCUAGGGAAUCAAUAGAACAUUCUCCCAACCAGGCUGGGUGCGGUGGCUCAUGUCUGUAAUCCCAGCACUUUGGGAGGCCAAAGUAGGCAGAUCCCUUGAGGUCAGGAGUGUGAGACUGGCCUGGCUGACAUGGUGAAACCCCGUCUCUACUAAAAAUACAAAAGUUAGCCAGGCGUGGUGGUGCACACCUGUAAUCCCAGCUACAUGGGAGGAGUAGGAGGCAGGAGAAUUGCUACUGAGGCAGGAGAAUUGCUUGAACCUGGGAGGUGGAGUUUGCUGUGAGCCGAGAUCAUGCCACUGCACUCCAGCCUGGGCAACGGAGUGAGUGAGACUCUGUCU
rnacentral:sRNA from 1 species